rnacentral:rRNA from 1 species
AGGGCACAUGGUGGAUGCCUUGGCGUUAAGAGCCUAAGACGGGCGUGGCAAGACUGCGAAAAGCCUUGGUUAGCUGUCCAGCAAGCGUAACCAGGGAUCCCCUAAUGGGACAACCUGCCUCGGAAAAACCGAGGCGCACCUAGCUGAACACAUAGGCUAGGCGCGGGAACCGGGCGAACUGAAACAUCUUAGUAGCCCGAGGAAAAGAAAUCAACCGAGAUUCUCCUAGUAGUGGCGAACGAACGGGGAACAGCCCAAACCUUGAAGGAAGAGCGGACUUUGGAGUCUUAUGCCUUCAGGGGGUUGUAAGGCAUAGCGGCCUGGUCCAAAACAGGCACAGAGUUACAAAUCCUAUUUCUAGUCGAACGACCCUGGAAAGGGCGACUACAAAGGGUGAUAGUCCCGUAGGCGAAAGGAAUAGGACUCUGGCUAUGACCUUGAGUACCACGAGACACGUGUAAUCUUGUGGGAAGCAGGGGGGCCCACCCUCCAAGGCUAAAUACUCUUGACGACCGAUAGUGUACAAGUACCGUGAGGGAAAGGUGAAAAGAACCCCGGGAGGGGAGUGAAAUAGAACCUGAAACCGUGUGCUUACAAGCGGUCAGAGGUCGCUUCGGCGACUGAUGGCGUGCCUAUUGAAGAAUGAGCCGGCGAGUUGAUCUGCGUCGCUAGGUUAAGCAACUGUCGUUGCGGAGCCGCAGCGAAAGCGAGUCUGAAUAGGGCGUGGCAGACUUCGGUCUGCAGGUGGCGUGGAUCAGACCCGAAACCGAGUGAGCUAACCAUGGUCAAGGUGAAGCGAGAGUGAAAUCUCGUGGAGGCCUGAACCUUUCAAUGUGGCAAAAUUGUAGGAUGAACUGUGGUUAGAGGUAAAAUGCCAAACGAACUCGGAGAUAGCUGGUUCUCCCCGAAAUGCAUUGAGGUGCAGCCUCAGGCAUUGAACUAUGGAGGUAGGGCUCUGGAUGAGCUAGGGGGAGAGUAUCUUACCAAACUCAACCAAACCACUAAUGCCAUAGUUUGUAUCCUGGGAGUGAGACUGUGGGGGAUAAGCUUCAUAGUCGAGAGGGAAACAGCCCAGACCAUCAGCUAAGGUCCCUAAGGUGGACUAAGUGGUAAAGGAAGUGGAGUCGCUCAGACAGCCAGGAUGUUGGCCUAGAAGCAGCCACCAUCUAAAGAGUGCGUAACAGCUCACUGGUCGAGUGGUUCUGCGCCUAAAAUUUAGCGGGGCUCAAGUCCGCCACCGAAGCUAUGGAUCCUUCUUCGGAAGGAUGGUAGGGGAGCGUUGCCUGUGCGUCGAAGCUCUGAUGCGAGUCAGUGUGGAGCGCAGGGAAGUGAGAAUGCCGGUAUAAGUAGCGUAAAGGCGUGUGAAAAACACGCCCACCGAAAGCCUAAGGUUUCCUAUGCAACGUUAAUCGGCGUAGGGUUAGUCGGGCCUAAGUCGAGGGCGAAAGCCGUAGACGAUGGACAGCAGGUUAAUAUUCCUGCACCGCUAGCCUCGUUAAGCUGUUGGGGGACACAGGAAGGUAGGUUGAGCGUGCCUAUUGGACAUGGUGCGUCGUUCCGGCGCUAGUCGGAGCGGAAGCGGAGGGGAGACCCGAAGCGACUCAGCUGAUCCUAUGCUGUCGAGAAAAGCCCAGCAGUUUGAGGUGUGCGCCCGUACCGCAAACCGACACUGGUAGGCUGGGGUAAAUGCCCUAAGGUGUUCGAGAGAACCCUCGUUAAGGAACUCGGCAAGUUGACCCCGUAACUUCGGGAAAAGGGGUCCCCGACGCAAGUCGGGGCGCAGUGAAAUGGCCCAGGCGACUGUUUAACUAAAACACAGGUCUCUGCUAAAGCGUAAGCUGAAGUAUAGGGGCUGACACCUGCCCAGUGCCGGAAGGUUAAGGGGAGUGGUUAGGGAUGCUUGCAUCUCGAAGCUGCGAACCGAAGCCCCGGUGAACGGCGGCCGUAACUAUAACGGUCCUAAGGUAGCGAAAUCCCUUGUCGGGUAAGUUCCGACCUGCACGAAAGGUGUAACGACUUGGGCGCUGUCUCAACGAGGGACUCGGUGAAAUUGAAGUACGAGUGAAGAUGCUCGUUACCCGCGACGGGACAAAAAGACCCCGUGGAGCUUUACUAUAGCUUGGCAUUGGAUUAGGGCUUAGCAUGUGUAGCAUAGGUGGGAGGCUAGGAAGCCUGGACGCUAGUCCGGGUGGAGCCAACGGUGAAAUACCACUCUUGUUGAGUCUUGGUUCUAACUCCAGAGCAAGCUGGAGGACAUUGCCUGGUAGGUAGUUUGACUGGGGCGGUCGCCUCCCAAAAAGUAACGGAGGCGCCCAAAGGUCCUCUCAAGGUGGAUGGAAAUCACCUGUCGAGUGCAUUGGCAUAAGAGGGCUUGACUGUGAGACCAACAAGUCGAGCAGGGACGAAAGUCGGGCAAAGUGAUCCUACGGUUCCGAGUGGAAGGGCCGUGGCUUAUCGGAUAAAAGCUACCCCGGGGAUAACAGGCUUAUCUUGCCCAAGAGUUCAUAUCGACGGCAAGGUUUGGCACCUCGAUGUCGGCUCAUCGCAUCCUGGGGCUGGAGAAGGUCCCAAGGGUUAGGCUGUUCGCCUAUUAAAGCGGUACGUGAGCUGGGUUCAGACCGUCGUGAGACAGGUCGGUCUCUAUCUGUCGUGGGCGUAGGAGAUUUGAGGGGAGCUCUCCCUAGUACGAGAGGAUCGGGAGGGACGGACCUCUGGUGUGCCAGUUGUCGUGCCAACGGCAGCGCUGGGUAGCUAAGUUCGGAAGGGAUAAGCGCUGAAAGCAUCUCAAGUGCGAAGCCCACCCCAAGACGAGAUCUCCCACUGGGUAACCAGGUAAGACCACAAGUAGACUACUUGUUUGAUAGGCAGCGUGUGUAAGCGGGGUAACCCGUUCAGCUAAGCUGUACUAAUGGUCGAGGGCUUGGUCU